rnacentral:rRNA from 1 species
CCUACGGGAGACAGCAGUGAGGAAUAUUGGUCAAUGGCCGAGAGGCUGAACCAGCCAAGUCGCGUGAGGGAAGACGGCCCUACGGGUUGUAAACCUCUUUUGUCGGGGAGCAAAGCGAGUCACGUGUGACUCAUUGAGAGUACCCGAAGAAAAAGCAUCGGCUCACUCCGUGCCAGCAGCCGCGGUAAUACGGAGGAUGCGAGCGUUAUCCGGAUUUAUUGGGUUUAAAGGGUGCGCAGGCGGAGGUGCAAGUCAGCGGUAAAAUUGCGGGGCUCAACCCCGUACUGCCGUUGAAACUGCAUCCCUUGAGUGCGCGAGAGGUAUGCGGAAUGCGUGGGGUAGCGGUGAAAUGCAUAGAUAUCACGCAGAACUCCGAUUGGGAAGGCAGCAUACCGGCGCGCAACUGACGCUCAUGCACGAAAGCGUGGGUAUCGAACAGGAUUAGAUACCCCUGUAGUC